GACGAACCGAGCGAACGUUAUUCGGAAUCACUGGGCUUAAAGGGCGCGUAGGCGGGCCGUCAAGUCAGGGGUGAAAUCCCCACGGCUCAACCGUGGAAGUGCCUCUGAUACUGGGGGGCCUCGAGGGAGGUAGGGGCGUGCGGAACUUCCGGUGGAGCGGUGAAAUGCGUAGAUAUCGGAAGGAACAUCGGUGGCGAAAGCGGCGCGCUGGACCUCUUCUGACGCUGAGGCGCGAAAGCCAGGGGGAGCAAACAGGG
rnacentral:rRNA from 1 species